AACUUUAAAUUCAGCAAAUUGCAAGUUUGUGGAACCAUUCGGUAGAGUUA
rnacentral:tRNA from 1 species